rnacentral:snRNA from 1 species
UUUCCCAACUUUGAUCAU